UUCCCUUCUUGGUAGGUCCUCUUCCACAUCUCACAGUUCAUGCCUAGCCUCUGUAUACUUCAUCUCUGUAAAGGUGGGACAAGUGGAAACAUCUCUAUAUACUUUUUGCAUAGUGCUCUUUUGCUGAGUGGUCUGGUGUUUGAAGGCAGAGUAACCAAGUGGUGCAGGAGAAGGAAGGGAAGGGAUGCAUCACCUUCCCCUGCUUGUAAGGAUACCAGGGAAAAUAAAGUAAUAUUGAUUGGAGCUACAACUCUUCUUCAGCACCCUAAGGAUUAUUCUGUUUUUCAGGGAAAAAAAACUUAAAGAAAAGCGAGCAGAUUUAUAAAGCUGUGUGGUGGCAGUGAUCUUCCACUCCUCCUUCAGGAUCUACAAAAAGCUGGGACCAACUCGUCCUGUGGAAAGGCAAGGCAUGUACCAGCCUCGUCUGAACCACUAAAAGAAACCAGGCGUUUCCUUCUCAUGAGAACACAGUGCACUUCCUCUAAUGAGAAUAGAACAAGCUUUGGAAGAAGCACAUCAGCAUUUGAAGACAAUGGAAUCACAGGUCUCAAAAUGCAGAGAUAAUACGUUUGGACAGAUGUGACUGUAAUGCUGUCAGCUGCUGCUAUUCCAUAUCAAGGCCUCUAAUAAUUGCUGUUUAUUCUUUAAGCCGAAGCCCUUGGAGAUAAGUUAUUAGAGGCAAAUAUUAGCGUUCAUUUUUUUUUAAGGGAGAUUCUGAGAAAAUCUUGAAAUCAUGACCCAAAUGUGCACUAACAGUUAAAAAUACACACAACAAAUAAAAAUAGCCUGCAACUGUA